rnacentral:rRNA from 1 species
GACGAACGCUGGCGGCGUGCCUAACACAUGCAAGUCGAACGGAACUGUUUUGAAAGAUUUCUUCGGAAUGAAUUUGAUUUAGUUUAGUGGCGGACGGGUGAGUAACGCGUGAGUAACCUGCCUUCAAGAGGGGGAUAACAUUCUGAAAAGAAUGCUAAUACCGCAUGACAUAUCGGAAUCACAUGAUUUUGAUAUCAAAGAUUUUAUCGCUUGAAGAUGGACUCGCGUCCGAUUAGUUAGUUGGUGAGGUAACGGCUCACCAAGACCGCGAUCGGUAGCCGGACUGAGAGGUUGAACGGCCACAUUGGGACUGAGACACGGCCCAGACUCCUACGGGAGGCAGCAGUGGGGGAUAUUGCGCAAUGGGGGCAACCCUGACGCAGCAACGCCGCGUGAAGGAUGAAGGUUUUCGGAUUGUAAACUUCUUUUAUUAAGG